AUGUUUCUCCCCACGGCAGCGCAAAAGGGAACCAACGCGUCGUCUGCCAGUACGGGCGAGCGCGAGGAUGAUGCUGACGGACCUGCCGACCUGCACUUCUUUCUUCCGGCGUUGCUGUGUGCUACCGUAGUACCACCUCCUCGGCGAGCGUGCAGCGCCAAUUUCCAACUUGGAGCCGGCGGUGGACGAGCCCACGGCCUGCUGUAUUCCAGCGGCGAGCCAACAGCAAGCUGCUGCAGUGUUGCGCCCCUCCUUUCCCCACAAACUCUCAACUCCUCCUGUCCCUCGAGCGGCAAGCAGCAAGCUAGCAAUUCUCAGGCGGCAGCUUGGCAGUUGGUCGUCACUUCGUUGACAGCAGUAAUAACACUAAGGUAUGCUGCUCUUUUGUUCUUUUUUCAAACCCACUGUUUAAAUUUAUAUAACUACACACAUAUUACUAGCUUAGAUGAUGGUUUGUAUUUUCUAGACUUCUAUUUUUACUGA
rnacentral:rRNA from 1 species